AUACAGAGGGUGCAAGCGUUAAUCGGAUUUACUGGGCGUAAAGCGCGCGUAGGUGGCUAAUUAAGUCAAAUGUGAAAUCCCCGAGCUUAACUUGGGAAUUGCAUUCGAUACUGGUUAGCUAGAGUAUGGGAGAGGAUGGUAGAAUUCAAGGUGUAGUGGUGAAAUGCGUAGAGAUAUGGAGGAAUACCGAUGGCGAAGGCAGCCAUCUGGCCUAAUACUGACACUGAGGUGCGAAAGCAUGGGGAGCAAACAGGAUUAGAUACCCUGGUAGUCCAUGCCGUAAACGAUGUCUACUAGCCGUUGGGGCCCUUGAGGCUUUAGUGGCGCAGCUAACGCGAUAAGUAGACCGCCUGGGGAGUACGGUCGCAAGACUAAAACUCAAAUGAAUUGACGGGG
rnacentral:rRNA from 1 species